rnacentral:tRNA from 1 species
UUUCUUUUGGUGUAAUGCACCGGAAAAUUUGAAUUUCCAAGAAAAUAAUUUUUAAAGAAAA